CACGUAGGGUGCGAGCGUUGUCCGGAAUUAUUGGGCGUAAAGAGCUCGUAGGCGGUGUGUCGCGUCGGCCGUGAAAGCCUGUGGCUUAACUAUGGGCUUGCGGUCGAUACGGGCAUCACUGGAGUUCGGCAGGGGAGACUGGAAUUCCUGGUGUAGCGGUGAAAUGCGCAGAUAUCAGGAGGAACACCGGUGGGGAAGGCGGGUCUCUGGGCCGAGUACUGACACUGGGGAGCGAAAGCGUGGGGAGCGAACGAGG
rnacentral:rRNA from 1 species